rnacentral:tRNA from 1 species
GGAGAGAUGGCAGAGUCCGGUUUAAUGCACCUGACUUGAAAUCAGGCGUGGGUUUGCGCCCACCGGGGGUUCGAAUCCCUCUCUCUCCGCCA